rnacentral:misc_RNA from 1 species
GAGGCUGCUACUCAAGUCUCUGCUCCUAAUACUGGUAAGGGUGAAAGUAAUAAGGUUGGUGAAUGUCCAACUGCUGUGGCACAUAACAAUGACCAAGUAGUUGAAUCUGAGCAUGCACCUGCAGUAGAAGCACCUGCAGUAGAAGCCCCUGUUGACCAUGCUAGUGAACAGGUCAUUGAACCUGAAGUUGGUCCUGCAACUGGUGUACCUACUGAGCAUGAUAGUGAAAAGCUUGUAGAACCCGCAAGUAAGUCACCUGUUGAACCUCCAAGUGCACCACUGCUUGAACCUGCUGCUGCCCCCACGCAGCAGAAGGAAGCCUCUCUAAAGGAUCACCAAGAGAGUGCUCCAACUCAACUAUCUGCAGCUGCUGCCCCUGUAGCCAAGAAAGGUAGGAAACGGUAUAAGUCGACUAUGUCAAAUCCAUAUCAGACACUAGCUGCUGCUCUACAACCACCAUCUGAUGAAGAUGAGCCUCAGAAAGAUGACCAACUGGCUGACCAAGGAUCUCAGCCCCCUGCUGCUAAACCCACCAGGAAGAAGAUGGUGCCUUCCAAAUCCACUCGCAAGAGUAAAAUACUUAAAUGAUUAGCAUCUCAUCUGGAUUUUUAGU